UUAGAUAAACAGGUGUUUUCACGUUUGAGGAAACAGAUGGUAGUUAAAUUAAUAUGGCUCCCAUAGACUCAUAGGUUUGUAUACAUGUUUCCUAGUUUGUGGAACUGUUUGGGAAGGAACACAGGUCUGCCUUUUUUGGAAGAGGUGCAACACUUGGGUGCAUUUUCAGGCUUUAAUCUCUUCUGAACACGUCCAUAUUGCAAGCUCCCACUUUCGUGGAGUUCAAAAUAUGAGUUCUCACCUUUCCCUUGAUUUACAGCUAAGACCUUGUAAUCCAAGAGGAACUUUCCAGAUGCAUUUAUGUCCAACAUUUUUAUAAUUUAUGGAUGAUUCUGGAUGACUAUGAGCUUGUCCUUCUUUUCUACUUUGAUAGUAGAUCAAGAUGUAAUGUCUACCUACUAAGGCAACUCCAUGCAACCUACUGAUUGCCACAUUUCCUGCCAUUAUGAUCCUUUGGUUUGGUUUUGUUAAAAACAACAACAACAACUUCCCAGACAUUCAGUUUUACCAAUGAAGACUGAGGAGGCUGAUGAAGUUGUGAAUGCCUUCAAGACCAGAGAGGCAGAGAAAGAACCAAGCUUAACUUCCUCAACUGACUUUCCAGAGGAAAAGGGCCCUUUCCCCUCCUCCAAACUGUGCUAAAUACUCUUCAACUAAUGCCUUUCCUUUCCACAUCCUGUGUUCAUUUCCUCUCAACUGGCAACUUGCUUACAUAUUAACCUAUGGUCUACUUUAUUUACUCCUGUUUACAGAAAGCUCUUACUUAGUAUUAAAGUUGUAUGCUAGAGCUGAGCCACAGCACAACAAGAAACAAGUAUUUUUCACAAUCUUGAGGUUCACCAUGUGAUUGAAUAUCCUCCAACAAUGGCCACAAACACUUAUUGUAUUUACCUUGAAAGUAUAAGUCCCCAAUAAACAUUUCUUUAUGUUGCU